GCGGCGUCCGGCGCGAGGGCGGCCUGCUGGGCGGGCUGAGGGGCGAGCCGCGUGCCGGUGAGGCGGAGAGAGACGGAGACGGCGGGCGAGCGCGGCGACAGUGCAUUUUUAACUUCUGACAUAUGUCCCCAAAAGCGUAAAGAAAAUUAAAUCUACAUGCAUCAGAGACUGGGUGGAUGUUGGUAUGUAAAUCACAUAACUAUUAAUUUAAAAACCAUAGUCACUUAAGUGUGAUUUAAUUUGCAAAUAAGAUGUUUAUUUUUUGUAUAAAAGACAAUUCUGCCCAACGAGGUAGGUUAAAAUAAUUUAUAGUAGGAUCAUAUAUACCCUUGUAACUGUGAUCUUUGUAGCUAACAGGUUACUAAGGGUAUUUUAGCAAUAUUUGAAACACUAAAAUUCAAAUACUCAAAAUAAUUUGUACCUCAUAGUUUGUUAUGAUGAGAAUUGACCUGCAUUCAAUUGAAACUUAAACAUGUAAGACUAUAAUCCUUAAAUAGGGCAAGUUCAUUUUAGGCUUAAUUUAGAAUUUACGUCUAGUCUUUUGGAAGACAUUAGGUUAAUGAGAGUGAGGGACCACCAGAGGGAGUAUGGGGUCCACAUAUUGAUGUACCUGUGCUCGGCCCUUCGUCUGGAAGAAAAACAUCUUAAAAAGAACUUUUAGUUCUCUAAAACAGGCACAAGAUAUUGAAAGUUGGGCGUUGUAGCUGUUUGGAGUUGCUGUCGUUUUUGUAACAGUUAAUCAAGGCUGUUUUCUUUUAGAAAAAGGUACAAUUUUUAGAAAAAUGAAAAUGAUGUAUUUUCAGAGUGAAAUACUGGGUUUUGAAGUAAACAGUUACACAUCUGUGAACGUUAGGGGACAUCCAGAUGCUAAGAAUGUUUUUUAAGAUUAAAAAUGUAGAACAUUUGAAUUGUAUGUUUUUGAAAUUGCUCAUUUUUUGGAAGGAGGAAUAAAAGAUGAAGAACCAUCACAGACUGGAAGAGGGUGGUUUUUCCCCUUUUGUAGUCGCAAACCCUUCCCGAAAGCAGACAAUGGUGAUGUGCUAGAACGAUUUGUAGUGUUCUGUCUCAAUCUUGGCAAUUUGUACAUGAUAUUAAAUGGGGAACCACUCCUAGUCUCCUGAAAGUGACCGUCUGAUUCUCAGCAGCAGGGUUGGAAAUUUCAGUUUGAUCUCUUCAAAAUCAGAUCGGUAUGUAUGUUUCUUAGUGUUCCUGUCUCUGAAAAUUAAGGAACCUCCUCUACUGUCAGCUGAAAGUUACACAAUGGAUUUGAAAGUCAGAAUGUCCCUAUCACAGACUUAGUGCUGCAGUAAGCUAUGUUCUGGAAUGGAGAAAACAUCCCAGAGGUUAAGUCCUUUUCAGAAUGUAUUCUGAAUCAAGAUGGAAUGGUCUUUCCCCAUGUUACAUCUUAACUAAUGGAAUUAUUUCCAUGUUUAACUUUUCAAAAAAGCAAGACAAUAAAAUAAAAUCUUGUAACCUUAACACGUAUUUUGGGUUUUGCCACUAGGGUAAACAGUUAUUACAUGGUAAAUGGUAACAUUUAAUGCUUUGAAAUUCUAGUUUGGGGAGGGGAUUUGUUAUGAGAAGAAGGUAUUUCCUUGAAGCAGACCAGAGUAGUUUACAUGGAGAGAAGUUCAUUUCUCUUUUGGAUUAUUCUUAGCUUAAGACAUAAUACUUACUAAGAAAAGUUGAGGUGGUUGUCUUUCCCAUCUUAGAUUUAUUUUCACUAUAAACUUUGUAAGUUCUUUUAAAAUAUCUUUAUUGGUCCUAGGUUGAAUACUCAGAAUCUGUUUAUUUGUAUCUGUAUCUAUAUACACACAUACAUAUGCAUACCCACACAGGUAGAUAGAUAAAAUACCUAUAUUAUAUUUUUUUGUAUUUUAUAUGUAUAACUGUAUGUACUUGCUAUGUGUAUAUGUGUUUAUAUAAAUUAAUCCAUCUAUCUAUAGUAUAUGACUUCCUAGGCUUAUUUAUAUGUGAAACACUUUUUUUAAAAUAAUGAACUCUUGCUACACCCAGAGAGAUAAAGUACAUGUUCACAAAAAGAUUGAUACAAAAUGUUCAUAGCAGCUUUUUUCAUGAUAGGAAAGAACUACUGAUUCACACAUAGAUGAAGCUCAGAAAUAAAUUCAGAGCAGGAGAAGCCAGACACAAGUGUGUACUAUAUGAUGCCAUUUAUAAAAAAUAGAAGAGGGGCCAGUCAGGUGGUGCAGCAGUUAAGUGCACACAUUGUGCUUCAGCAGCCUGGAGUUCACUGGUUCGGAUCCCAGGUGCAGACCUGCGUAACACUUGUUAAGCCAUGCUGUAGCAGGCAUUCCACAUGUAAAGUAGAGGAAGAUGGGUAUGGAUGUUAGCUCAGGGCCAGUCUUCCUCAGCAAAAAGAGGAGGAUUGGUGGCAGAUGUUAGCUCACGGCUAAUCUUCCUCCAAAAAACAAAAAAAAAACCCCAAAAAUACAAGAACAGGGGCCAGCCUGGUGGUGUAGUGGUUAAGUGCACGUGCUCUGCUUCAGCGGCCCAGGGUUCAAGGGUUCAGGUCCUGGGCAUGGACCUACUACACUGCUCAUCAAGCCAUGCUGUGGAGGCAUCCCACAUACAAAAUAGAGGAAGAUUGGCACAGAUGUUAUCUUAGGACCAAUCUUCCUCAAGCAAAAAGAGGAAGAUUGGCAACAGAUGUUAGCUCAGGACCAAUCGUCCUCACCAAAAAAAAAAUAGUAAUGAUUACAAGGACAGGUCAAACUUAGAUAUGGUGAUAGAAAUCAGGACACUAGUUUCUGGGUACAGGCUGUGGUUGAGUGGAAAGGGGCAAAAGGGAACUUUUUAGGGUAAUGGAAGUAUUCUUUGGCUUGAUUUGGGUGAUGGUAGUUCAAGUGUACACUUUUUUUGGUAACUUGUUAUUUUCAUAUAAUUUUUAACUUACAGAAAAGUUGCAAAACUAGUGCAAGGAACUUCCAGAUUCACCAAUUGUUGGUGUAUACAUUUGUUCAAACUUAUUGAGCUGAAUACUUAAGUUCUGUGCAUUUUAUGGUAUGUAAAUUUUACCUUAAUAAAGAAAAAAGCUACAAAAAUCUGUUGAAGAUGAGGAGAAUGAUCUUGCUAUCUGCAAAAAGUGAAAUACCUCAUCGGAAUUAAGCACUGCUUUAAUAAUGAGGUAGAAAGAGAGUCACUGACAGUCUUUUGUGUCUACAUACAUGUACUUAUGCUGCUUCUCUCUGAAGUUUCACGACAACGUAUUUCUAUUAGACAAAACAGGGUCCUGAAAAUGACUUAAGGCAAAUCUGCCAGCGAGGGGACUGUGCUUUAUUUUGUUAUCCUGUGCGCGUCACGUAGGGAAUGAGACUGACACCUAGCAACUGCUUUCUGGGAAUUGGAGGUGGUGAUUAUUCCUGUUAAAAGAAUUGCACACUUACAGUGAGCUAGGUUUUGUACAGACAUGUGCAGUCUUCACUGUGGUGGAGGUUACCAGACGAAGAGGAGGCAGACACAUCUGUUGUCAUUUGGGGUGGUGCUGUUUAUCAUAGGGAGGCGAGAUUGGUGCUUGUAAACCGUGUAAGCUCUUCUGGACCGUCAGUAAGUGGGAAAUCUAAGUUGUGAAUUGGAUGCUCUCAAUUAGUUUUAGUGCUGCCAUAGUCUCAGUAGAAUGAUGUGAUUUAAAUUAAAUCUAUUUAAAUCAUAGCUUAAAUUAUGAUAAUUAUUAAAAACAUUCAACUUUUUCUCUCUACUUAUUAUUUUAUAUAAUUUUAAAUAUGUAUUCUUUACAAUUAGAAUUAGGUAUAGUAUAUGGAUAUUGGUUCAUUUUUUUUAAACCUUUUUUUUGGCAUCUAUAUAAGAAAGUUGUUUAUUUCGUUAUUUACUAGAAUGGAAGCUGUGUGAAGUAACAGGAUUAACCAGCAGAUUCAACAAAUUAAUCGUUCCUGCUGGGGAUAAACAUUGAUUUUGCCUUUGCUAACCAAAACCGUACAUUUAUAUGGCCUGUAUAUUUUUCUUCAGCAAAAACACAAGUUCAUUGGGGGCCGGCCCAGUGGUGCAGUGGUUAAGUUGGCACGCUCCACUUCGGCAGCACGGGGUUCACUGAUUCGGAUCUCAGGUGCAGACCUACGCAUGGCUUAUCAAGCCAUGCUGUGGCAGGUGUCCCACAUAUAGGGUAGAGGAGGAUGGGCAUGGAUGUUAGCUCAGGGCCAAUCUCCCUCAGCAAAAAGAAGAGAAAGAUUGGUGGUAGAUGUUAGCUCAGGGGUAAUCUUCCUCAAAAAAAGAGAAAAGUUCAUUGAAGAGGAAAAUUGACAAAUGUCCACCAUCAACCAACAUGGAUAAAAGAACUAAUUUUCCCCAUUUAAUGAACAUAUUCAUCUUCCUCUGAAAUGACAGACUGUGCCUUUUCUCCCUUUCAUAUACACCAAAUAUCAUUGGUCUAUCAAAAAUGAAUAAAACAUUAUUUGAAAAGUCUUUAUCUACUAGAGUUUUGUUUUGAGUUGUCAAACCUUAACUGCAGAUAGAAUUUUAAAAAUACCUGUAGGUAGCCUUUUUAAGACUUUUUAUUAUGAAAGUUUCAAGCACACACAGAACUGGAGAGAACAGUAUAAUGAACCUCCAUGUACCUAAUUCUGCAGAUUUAUUAAUUAUCAACAUUUUGGUUAAUGCACUUUUAAAACUUAAAUUCUCGGGCCCGCCCGGUGGCGCAGCGGUUAAGUUCACAUGUUCUGCUUCAGUGGCCCGGGGUUCACUGGUUCAGAUCCCGGGUGCGGACAUGGCACCGCUUGGCAAAAGCUGUGCUGUGGUAGGCGUCCCACGUAUGGAGGAAGAUGGGCACAGAUGUUAGCUCAGGGCCAGUCUUCCUCAGCAAAAAAAGAGGAGGAUUGGCAAUAGUUAGCUCAGGGCUAAUCUUCCUCAAAACAAAACAAAAAACUGCUAAAUUCUCACAAAUAUUGUAAAAUAGUAGUAUUGGUGCACCAGAUUUUUCUCUGUGUUUUUCAGAAGUUUUGUUAUGAAUAGAGAAACCUAAAAAGCAGUGGGUUUUAGCUCAGAGACUUGACUUUGGAUGUUUGGUAAUUAUGAAACUACUUUUAUUCUUAGCUCCUUUUUGUCAAUUCAUAGCCUGGAAAAGAAAAAUCGUCUUAACUUUUCGUUUAGAAUAAAUUAAUCCAUAUAUUCUGUAUCUGUAGAGUAAAGUGCUAUUCAUCUGGGAAGUGAAAUUAUCUUUAAAGUGUAGUAUUUGAGGAAUGCUGUUGUCUAUUAAUGUUUUUCCGUUACUUUCUCUUUCUCUGAAAACUCAGUCAUUGCUGUGCUUUUUGGGCCCCAAAUCUAUAUCUUCUGUCUAAACUUGAGGCCUUCCAAACUUGAGAUCCAAAUUUUCACCUAUGUCCUGAAACUAAAUAUGUGUAAAUACCAUCUGUAGCAACUGUACACCAAUGCCUCCUCUACUCACAGCCAAAAUGCUUCUCUUCCUGACUUUCCUCUUUGGCUGUUAAUGACACCAUUAUUCUUACUGGUCAUUUUUGACUCUUCCUUUACUUCUUAAGCUCAGUGAGUCACAAAAUCACUAUGUUUCUAACUUCAUAAUGUCUCCUUUUAGUCUUUUCAUUUCCACGACAGUCGUCAUACUUUGGUUAACAUGUUAAAGCAGGAAGUUAUCCCUAAUCUGCAAUGAACUUCAUACAUAUCAAAAUUAAAAUGUGUUCCUAAAGUAAAAUAGGGCAUUUUCUUCCGUUCUGGAGAAGGCUUCAGUCAGCCUUAUAGGCGAACACAUAAUUUUUAAGGCCUAGGUAAUCAUUAUACUUAAACCAAGAUGAAAUGGAUGAUUUCCAGAUCACUCAGCUCAAAUAACCUGGUGAAUGGUGGGUGGUGGGGUCCACAGUUUAUCAAGGGGUGUAAGCAGCAGACUUUCUUAGACCUCGGAAAUGGCCCAGGACGGGCUCCUUCCAGCCCAGAAUAUCUGCAAGUGCUUUGCUGUGGGGAAGUACUGAGUGUAUGUAGCACAUUUUCAGGGCUUCCUAGAGUUUUAUGGCUAAAAAUGCAGGUCGUUGGGUUUACCUGAGAACUCCUCUCCUCUCCCUUGUCCCGUAUUUCCUGGCCAAGAUAGUUUCCACCAAAAAGCCAUCAUGCCGAAAGUGACGUGUUAGUCUAUCUCAUUACUUUCCCUUCUCCUCACGUGCUCCUGGAAUAGUUGGUUGUCAGAAAGAUAGGAGCCUGAGGUUAGUUGGGAGGCUAUAAAAUAGAAAAGGGAAGAUAAGUGAUAGCCGUUGUGGUUCCCACUAGCAGUCAUCCAGCCUCCAGAGGUCUUGGGCCUGACUCCUUUCCGGAUGGAUUGUAGCUUAUCAGCUUGGCCUGCAUUUGGUCGGCUUAUGGAGAGCUUUCUUCUUUCUGCUCUUCUGGGAAAUGUUUGAAUUUCCUCCGGGUAGGAACCAAGACUGACUUCAGAUUUUAAGAUUUACUGACUUUGGGGAUAAGAGAGUGAAAUUCUAUAUUGUGUUAGAUAGUCCUGAAUAUCUGAUUAUUUUCUUCUCUAGGAACUAGGAAUAACAUGAGGAUUCUGAGAUGUUUAUGCAGAAAUUAAUUUAAUGGUUAUUAAGAGUGGAAAAUGGAUGAGAAAAAUACACUAUUUCUAGGAAGCCUAAUGUGGUAGGAAUGGACAGUGGAAUGAGUUCAAGAGUGUUGCUACUAAGUAGCUAUAUGACCUCUCUGAGCCUUACUUUAAUUGUAAAAUGGGUGGGUUGGAUUAGAUAGUGUUUUAAGGUCUCUUUGCUGCUCUGAAAUUCUAAAAUGAGUGGUUUUUCAGGCAAAAACCUCCUAAUUUAUAUACUGUUCCUAAUAAUUUUUCAGUGGCUGUUUCACAUACAUAUUUUUCUGUUUCCUUUAGGGGUUAGGAAAAGAAAUAACUGAAAGAGUGAGUAUUCAUAAAAUGGAUUAGAUUUUAGUGUUUUCAUUUAUCUGCGUCUCUCCACUGGAUUUAUUUUGGACUCUUACUUUCACCGUUUGUUUGUGUCCGCUUUCUUGCUUUUCUUACUUUUUCUUAUCAUUUCCGCUUUACAGUGUGACUUUGAUAUCCCUCUUUUCGCUGCUUCUCCUUGCUCCUGCUCCUUCCUAGCUGCCCUUCGUUGCCCAUGUUUCCAUUAUGGGUGGAAUUCAUCAAAUAGACCGUUGAGCCUGACCUAUCACUAAAUUAAAUUUAGACGUCCUAAUAGUUUUAGGAGUAACGAGAACCUUCCACUCGAUAAUACAGAAUCUAUAAAGAGGUGACUCCUAGGUUAAGGGGAGUAGGGGAGCCUGAAGGGAGAAGGAAUGGUGUGGGAGGGAGUUUCUAUGCAUUAUUUUGCUGUUUUGAUUUAAAAUAUAAAUUAAAAUCUUUAAGUUUUGGUGGUGGUGACUCUGCCAGAGAUAUAUUCAAGUUUAGUCCCGGAGUCUUAAUGGACUGUGAGCUUCUUGAGAGCAGCAGCUGCACCUCCACUUCUGAAUCCUUAGUGUUCAGCCUAGUGCUUCAGAGUCAGUGCAAGUGGAACUGAAUUGUUAGGACUGAUUCUUUUUUCAGGGUGUUUUGCGGUAGGCUGGAGAUUAAGAGUACAGUAUAGACUCUUUUUUUUUUCUUUUUCUCCCCAAAUCCCCCCAGUGUAUAGUUGUAUAUUUUAGUUGUGGGUCCUUCUAGUUGUGGCAUGUGGGAUGCCGCCUCAACAUGGCCUGACGAGUGGUGCCAUGUCUGCGCCCAGGAUCCAACUUGGCGAAACCCUGGGCCACCAAAGCAGAGUGCGUGAACUUAACCACUCGGCCAUCGGGCCAGCCCCUAGACUCUUAAGUAAGAGUAUGGUAUAGAUUCUUAAGUAAGACUAUUGCUACCACCUUGUGAUAUUGGACAAGAUAUUUAGCUUCUCUAAGCCUCAGUUUCCCCAUCUAUGAUAUUGGGGAGGAGUAAUAACUACCUCAGGGUUGUUGUGAGGAUUAAAUGAGGCAAUACAUGUAAAGCAAUUAGCUCACAGCCUGGUAUCACAGUUUCAUUAAUAAGCACUUUUGUGUUCCAGAUACUAAGUUGUGUUAGGUUGUAAGUAGUGUUGUUAUAGAGUAAAUAAGACAAGAUCCUGUUCUUAGAAAAGGUAGAACGUAUGCACAAAAGAUGAAUAACAACCUAGGUCCCAUGGUUGGUGGCAAAUGAGUGGUUUACUUAAGGACUCAAGAGGCAGGAAUAAUUGCUAAGCAGAUGAGAACUUGAGGAAGGUGACAGAACUUGACCUGAGCUUUGAAGGACUAGCUAGCAAGUUAAGAGGAUGGGCUCCUUGGAGCCAGACUCUCUGUGUUGGAAUCCUAGCUCUGCUACUGUGUAAUCUUAAACAAGUCCCUUAACCUCCCUCCUGGGAUUGUUGAGAGAUUUAAAUGCAUUAAUACAUGUCAAGGUCUUCAAACAGUGCCUCAGACAUGGUAGGAGCAUGAUAAAUUAUUAUAAGGUGAGAGAAGGGAGGGUGCUUGUCAGGUAGAACAUUGAGUGUAAUGAAGGGACGAUAUCCUAGCUUUGUUUGAAGUGAUGAAACCAAGUUGGCUGCAGGGAAUAACCUGUUGGAAAAUAGUGAGUGAUUAAGCCGGGGCAGAAUUACGAAUGAUUAAGCCAGGGAGUGUGACAUCUUUUCCGUUUGUGCUGAGGGAACUUGGGAGGAUUUCUGGGGUUAUUUGUGCAGCAUUCUUCUGUGUUAGAGAACAUUUCUAAGUCUGUAUCUCUAGCAGUUCUCACUCUCUUUCCUGAUUUCAGUUUAACUGAAACUUCUGUUCAAACUAACUUUGACAAUGAAGCUCAGAAUCUUCUAUCUUGAACCAUUAUGCCUCUUUAAUUUGUCCAUUUCUUUUUGUAAACAUGUGUUUUUGGCUAACUUUCUCUUUUUCUCACCAUAUUCUAGUUGUUUGCAUAAUCCUUAUUCCUUUUCUCCGAAGUUUAGUGGGUUACUGCUGCUGUUUUCCUCUGUCCUCAAAAACCCCAGUCAAGAUCCUAAAUCACCAAAGCCAUAAAGUAGAAAGGGCCAGGGAGAGGCAGAAGGGGAGAGGAGGGGAAAGAAAUAUCCUCUAGACCAGCCAUCUUGUUUUGUUGAAGACAUUGAGGUCGAGAGGAAGAAAGUUAGGUGCUCAAGAGCUGCGGCUAAUUGAUGAGCAGGGCUGUAUCUUUCGCAGCUAAAGUAGGGCUGUUUUUGACUGCCAUCCUAGUGUGUUUCUCAGUCAUCUGGGUGGGGAUUACAGUAGCACUACCAAUUAUUUUUCUACUGCAGCUAUUAAACACCAAGAUAAAAAAUAAUUUUACUACCAGGAAUAAUGUGAUAAUGUCACCC
rnacentral:lncRNA from 1 species